AAAUCAAGCGUUUAAGGGCGUGUAGUGGAUGCCUUGGCACUGAAAGCCGAUGAAGGACGUGAUAUACUGCGAUAAGUUUCGGGGAGCUGUAUGUAAGCUUUGAUCCGAAAAUUUCCGAAUGGGGAAACCCACCACUUUAUGUGGUACUUUAAACUGAAUACAUAGGUUUAAAGAGACAACCUGGAGAACUGAAACAUCUAAGUAACCAGAGGAAAAGAAAUCAAUUGAGAUUCCGUUAGUAGUGGCGAGCGAACGCGGAGUAGGCCAGUAGUUUUGUUAGAAAAAUUUGAAUAGUUUGGAAAUGCUAACCAUAGAGGGUGAUAGUCCCGUAUGAGUAAUGUCUAACAAAAUUCUUGAGUAAAGCGGGACACGAGAAAUCCUGCUCGAAUAUAGGGGGACCACCCUCUAAGCCUAAAUACUCUUCAGUGACCGAUAGUGAACUAGUACCGUGAGGGAAAGGUGAAAAGAACCCCUAUUAGGGGAGUGAAAUAGAACCUGAAACUGCAUGCCUACAAUCAGUCCGAGCCCUUUUUAGGGUGAGGGCGUACCUUUUGUAUAAUGGGUCAGUGACUUAAUUUAUUAAGCAAGCUUAAGCCAUCUAGGUGUAGGCGUAGCGAAAGCAAGUCUUAAUAGGGCGAUUAGUUUAAUGAAUUAGACCCGAAAACGAAUGAGCUUACCAUGAGCAGGUUGAAAGUUGGGUAACACCAACCGGAGGACCGAACCAGUUGACGUUGAAAAGUCUUUGGAUGACUUGUGGUAAGGGGUGAAAGGCCAACCAAAUUCGUAGAUAGCUGGUUUUCCGCGAAAACUAUUUAGGUAGUGCGUCGAAUAAAUAGAUGUUUAGAGGUAGAGCACUAAAUGGGCUAGGGGGAAGAGAUUCUUACCAAACCUAAUAAAACUCCGAAUGCUAGACAUUGUUCUUCAACAGACAGACUGUGGGUGCUAAGGUCCAUGGUCGAGAGGGAAAGAGCCCAGACCACCAGAUAAGGUCCCCAAAUUAUGAUUAAGUGUGAAAGGAUGUGGAAAUUCCUUAACAGCCGGGAGGUUGGCUUAGAAGCAGCCAUCCUUUAAAGAUAGCGUAACAGCUCACCGGUCUAAUAGAGUUUCUGCGCCGAAGAUGUAACGGGGCUAAAAUCAUAUACCGAAUCUGUGGGUUUAUAAAACUUUUGAGUUCUAUAAGCGGUAGCGGAACGUUCUGUAAGCCUGUGAAGGGAUACCCGUGAGGGAUCCUGGAGGUAUCAGAAGUGCGAAUGCUGACAUAAGUAACGAUAAAAGAAGUGAAAAACUUCUUCGCCGAAAAUCCAAGGGUUUCUGCGCAAGGUUAAUCCGCGCAGAGUUAGUCGGCACCUAAGGCGAGGGCGAAAGCCGUAGUCGAUGGAAAUAAGGUUAAUAUUCCUUAACCAGAUGGUAGUGACGGAUCUUGUAAGUUGUGUACUCUUAAUGGAUUGAGUAUGCCGCGAAAAGGUUCCAAGAAAUAGCUCCAUCAUUAGACCGUACCCUAAACCGACACAGGUGGAUUAAUAGAGUAUAUUUAGGCGCUUGAGAGAAUGAUGUUGAAGGAACUCGGCAAAAUGCUUCCGUAACUUCGGGAUAAGGAAGACCUGUUUUUAGGCAACUAGAGAUGGGUGGCACAAGCCAGGGAGAAGCGACUGUUUAUCAAAAACACAGGGCUCUGCUAACACGUAAGUGGAUGUAUAGGGUCUGACGCCUGCCCGGUGCUGGAAGGUUAAUGCGGUUGGUGCAAGCUAACUUCUGAAGCCCCA
rnacentral:rRNA from 1 species